CUCUAAUUGGAGCUAAAAUAUCAAAAAUCUAUCAAAUAUGCAAAAAAACGUCACUUUUCAGAUGUUUUUUUGUCAAAAAUGAAAGUGGCCGCAUCCGUGCUCAUCCUCAACCUUUAUAUAUGUUAUGUAUUAUCAUCAAAUACAACUUACAUUUCAGUAUUAUGAAUGAACACGAAUGUGGCCACUUUCAUUCAAGACCGAAACCGUCUAAAAUUUAAUUAAAAUGCUAAAAUUGUGAAGGUUUCAGUAAUUUAGCAUGACUUAAUGCUGCUUGUACCCGAUAAAUGUGCAUUGUAUUGUCAAAUAAAAAACAUAUUUGCGUAGCAGAAGCAUUCUACUUUCCAAUAAAUAGCUGAAAGAUUACAUUUUUACAAUUUUGUAAAACUGCUAUAUUUUGGGACCAAAAAGCGGUCUUACUGAACCUACUCCUUUGAAUUUGUGGUUGAACCCAGUCACAAAAACCCCAGAACUAAAGUACUUUCACCGUAAUGACUGAAAUAAAAAUUUAUUUUAUUUAAAUAUGUUGAAAACUAUAAACAUUUUGAGCUGAUUGUUCCGUGGAACUGUGAGCUUUAGCCAUCACUUGGCGUCCGUCGUCUGUCAUUGUCUGCCUUGUAAACUAUUUCAAACUUCUUCUCCUCUGAAACUACUGAACCAAUUCCAACCAAACUUAAGCUGAAUGACUCUUAGGGUAUCUAGAAUAUAGUAUGUGUUUUAUUUUCUGUUACUUCAAAAACAUGGUCACCAUGGCUAAAAAUAGAACAUAGGGGGUAUAAUGCAAUUUUUGGCUUAUAUCUCAAAAACUUAAUUUAGAGCAAAUCUGAAGUGGAUAAAAGUGUCCAUUAGAUACUUUCAGAUGAAUCUAACAACCCAUUGUUUGGUUUCUAUUAUUUUGUUAUUGUCUUGAAUAUUAUUAAUUAUAGAGAUAAACUGCAAACAGCAAAAAAUGUUCAGCCAAGUAAGAUCUACAAAUAAGUGCAUAUGAGCAAAAUUGUCAAUUGACCCCUUAAGGAGUUAUUGCCCUGUAAAGAAAUUCACAAUUUGUUCAUCUAGUUUGCUCUCUUUAAAAAACCUUCUCCUUUGAAACUGCUGAAUCAAUUUCAGCCAAAUUUUGGCUCUCAAAUGAGUUUCAGAGUAUCCAGUAUAAAUUAAAAAACACUAUGGCUAAAAUGAUACAUAGAAGUAAAACGCAUUUGUUUUGUUUUUGAAAAAAAAUAAGACAAAGAAAAUUUAAAUGGAAUUUUUAAACCACUCAUUAAUAUAUAUUCCAAAGCAAAGAUCAUAGAUGAUCGAAAGAUUUAAGCAAAAAAUUACAGGUGAGGGUUUCAGGCUCUUAGGAGCCUCUUGUUUUAUUGAUAUUCAAAAUGGCAGCUUUAUUUUUAUUAUAAAUAUUCUGAAUCUUAACAAAUUGUUAAAAAUGUAAUUUUGAUAUUGUCUUUAUAAUUCCUCUUACAUGGUUGAAAGCAUUUAUCUCGCACAGAAGAUUGCAUUGUUGCUUAUGUGUACAGGUUUAGUUUCAACUUACUUAUAUAAUAUGUAAAGGCUUUACCAGGAAUGUAAAAAGAGAUUAUGUCUGUUAUAGUCCAAUUUUCUGUGUGAAGAUAAGGAGGUUAAAGAUUAUACAAGUGUAAAAUAUUAGUAUUUGUAAAAAUUGAUAGCUUAAUCAUCUACAAGAUAAUAUUGUCUAAAUUUUUUU
rnacentral:lncRNA from 1 species